ACCCAGACUCCUACGGGAGGCAGCAGUGGGGAAUAUUGCACAAUGGGGGGAACCCUGAUGCAGCGACGCCGCGUGAGUGAAGAAGUAUUUCGGUAUGUAAAGCUCUAUCAGCAGGGAAGAAAAUGACGGUACCUGACUAAGAAGCCCCGGCUAACUACGUGCCAGCAGCCGCGGCAAUACGUAGGGGGCAAGCGUUAUCCGGAUUUACUGGGUGUAAAGGGAGCGUAGACGGUUAUGCAAGUCUGAAGUGAAAGCCCGGGGCUCAACCAGGGGACUGCUUUGGAAACUGUAAAACUGGAGUGCAGGAGAGGUAAGCGGAAUUCCUAGUGUAGCGGUGAAAUGCGUAGAUAUUAGGAGGAACACCAGUGGCGAAGGCGGCUUACUGGACUGUAACUGACGUUGAGGCUCGAAGGCGUGGGGAGCAAACAGGAUUAGAUACCCCCGUA
rnacentral:rRNA from 1 species